UACGUAGGGUGCAAGCGUUGUCCGGAAUUAUUGGGCGUAAAGAGCUCGUAGGCGGUUUGUCGCGUCUGCUGUGAAAACUCAGGGCUUAACUCUGAGCUUGCAGUGGGUACGGGCAGACUAGAGUGCGGUAGGGGAGACUGGAAUUCCAGGUGUAGCGGUGAAAUGCGUAGAUAUCUGGAGGAACACCGGUGGCGAAGGCGGCAUCCUGGACCGGCAUUGACGCUGAGGAGCGAAAGCCAGGGGAGCAAACGGG
rnacentral:rRNA from 1 species